GAUCUGUUUAUUUCCACUUUACGUAAACUUGUAAAGAGAACUAUUAUUUCGUGCUCUCUCUCGCCAGGACGCUGCUGAGGACACGAGGAGUCGCCGACCCCAAGAAAAUCCAUGAUUUAGCGCGAAGACAAGCAGUCGGGGAGAGAAGGUGAGGGCGGGCCGUACCGCGGCCUCGAGGCCCCGCCUCCCGGGACCCCACCGCCCAGGCUCCGCCUCCUCGGGCCCCGCCCCGGCCCGCCGCCAUGUUGUUCCCUUGGCGCUGGACGUGAGCAGCCGGAGUUGCACCCGGGCAGCGCUACGGUCUCCUGGCCGCCUACCCCCGACCUUCUCUCCUCGUUGCACCCGGACGGGCCAGUCGGGAGCUCCCCGGGCGUCCUCUGUGUGGCCACGAAACCAGUGUGUGCUCUAUACAGCAUGUGUUGGUGCCAGCCGAUGGAUUGUCAUCCUGAGAUAAUGAUGCUGCUUGAACUGAACAAUUAAGGUAACAUUUGUGACUUAAGUAAUAAUGCUUUUCUUAUUCAGAAAUCUUUAUCAAAUUUAGCUGAAUUGUUAAAGUCAUGUUUUAACCUUGGUGAGGAUUUUCAUUAUUGCCCGUGGGCAAUCAUUCCGAACUGUGGGGUAUAAAAGAUUUCACAUUAUAUUUUAAGGUAAGUUUUGAAAAUAACGGGAUACCUUUAUUCAUUCAUCUUAUACUGAAGUUUGAAAGGAUUUUACUGUUUUUAGAAAAGAAAAAGGGAGUAUUUUUAAUGUCUCUAAGCCAGUUAUGGUUAUGUUCAUGUAUAGAUUGCCUGAAGCUAGCUUGUGU
rnacentral:lncRNA from 1 species